UUGAAAGGGAAACGAUUGAAGUCAGUCGUACCGACGAGAAAUCAGCUUAUCGUGUGUUAACUUGUGGGCGUGCGUGAGUUUCGGCCUCGCUGUUUGCAUGUUUGUGCGCUUUGGGUGUACUUUUUCGUAUGGUAGGCCAACAUCAGUUUCGAUUAUUAUAAAAUGACUGGCGGAAUGUAGCUUCGAUUUCGGUUGAAGUGUUAUAGCCUCUGGUAGAUGUGGUAAUUGGGACUGAGGAUUGCAACGAAUAUCCUUUGGGCUAUCCGUCUGGCCUCUGAAAGUUGCUUGGGUGCUGAAAGCUUGCUUAUGGUUAUCUAAGUUAACGGUCAAUAGGUUAGAACGUGAUUACAUUCGUUAAGGAUGUUGACGUA
rnacentral:rRNA from 1 species